GCUACGGGAGGCAGCAGUGAGGAAUAUUGGUCAAUGGCCGUAAGGCUGAACCAGCCAAGUCGGGUGAAGGAAGAAGGAUCUAUGGUUUGUAAACUUCUUUUAUAGGGGAAUAAAGGUAUCCACGUGUGGAUAUUUGCAUGUACCCUAUGAAUAAGAAUCGGCUAACUCCGUGCCAGCGGCCGCGGUAAUACGGAGGAUGCGAGCGUUAUCCGGAUUUAUUGGGUUUAAAGGGUGAGUAGGUUGUUGUUUAAGGCAGCGGUGACAGUUUGUGGCUCAACCAUAAAAUUGCGGUGUAAACUGGAAGACGUGAGUGUGUUUGAGGUAGGCGGAAUGCGUGGUGUAGCGGUGAAAUGCAUAGAUAUCACGCAGAACUCCGAUUGCGAAGGCAGCUUACUAAGCCAUAACUGACACUGAAGCACGAAAGCGUGGGGAUCAAACAGGAUUAGAUACCCGGGUAGUC
rnacentral:rRNA from 1 species